rnacentral:rRNA from 1 species
AUUGAACGCUGGCGGCAUGCCUUACACAUGCAAGUCGAACGGCAGCACGGGAGCAAUCCUGGUGGCGAGUGGCGAACGGGUGAGUAAAGCAUCGGAACGUGCCCAGUCGUGGGGGAUAACGUAGCGAAAGCUACGCUAAUACCGCAUACGAUCUGUGGAUGAAAGCGGGGGACCGUAAGGCCUCGCGCGAUUGGAGCGGCCGAUGUCAGAUUAGGUAGUUGGUGAGGUAAAGGCUCACCAAGCCGACGAUCUGUAGCUGGUCUGAGAGGACGACCGGCCACACUGGGACUGAGACACGGCCCAGACUCCUACGGGAGUCAGCAGUGGGGAAUUUUGGACAAUGGGCGCAAGCCUGAUCCAGCAAUGCCGCGUGCAGGAUGAAGGCCUUCGGGUUGUAAACUGCUUUUGUACGGAGCGAAACGGCUUCCACUAAUACUGGGGGCUAAUGACGGUACCGUAAGAAUAAGCACCGGCUAACUACGUGCCAGCAGCCGCGGUAAUAC